CACGUAGGGUGCGAGCGUUGUCCGGAAUUAUUGGGCGUAAAGAGCUCGUAGGCGGUGUGUCGCGUCGGCCGUGAAAACCUGCAGCUUAACUGUGGGCUUGCGGUCGAUACGGGCAUCACUGGAGUUCGGCAGGGGAGACUGGAAUUCCUGGUGUAGCGGUGAAAUGCGCAGAUAUCAGGAGGAACACCGGUGGCGAAGGCGGCUUGCUGGGCCUUACCUGACGCUGAGGAGCGAAAGCGUGGGGAGCGAACAGG
rnacentral:rRNA from 1 species